rnacentral:rRNA from 1 species
UACAGAGGGUGCAAGCGUUGUUCGGAAUUAUUGGGCGUAAAGAGCUCGUAGGCGGUCUGUCGCGUCCGUUGUGAAAACUCGAGGCUCAACCUCGGGCUUGCAGUGGAUACGGGCAGACUAGAGUGCGGUAGGGGAGACUGGAAUUCCUGGUGUAGCGGUGGAAUGCGCAGAUAUCAGGAGGAACACCAAUAGCGAAGGCAGCUCGCUGGGACGGUACUGACGCUGAGGCGCGAAAGCGUGGGGAGCGAACAGG